rnacentral:rRNA from 1 species
GAAUCUGCCCUCAGGAGGGGGACAACAGCUGGAAACGGCUGCUAAUACCCCAUAUGCCGCGAGGUGAAAUGAAUUUCGCCUGAGGAUGAGCUCGCGUCUGAUUAGCUAGUUGGUGUAGGUAAUGGCUCACCAAGGCAUCGAUCAGUAGCUGGUCUGAGAGGAUGAUCAGCCACACUGGGACUGAGACACGGCCCAGACUCCUACGGGAGGCAGCAGUGGGGAAUUUUCCGCAAUGGGCGAAAGCCUGACGGAGCAACGCCGCGUGAGGGAUGAAGGCCUCUGGGCUGUAAACCUCUUUUAUCAAGGAAGAAGAUCUGACGGUACUUGAUGAAUAAGCCACGGCUAAUUCCGUGCCAGCAGCCGCGGUAAUACGGGAGUGGCAAGCGUUAUCCGGAAUUAUUGGGCGUAAAGCGUCCGCAGGCGGCCCUUCAAGUCUGCUGUUAAAAAGUGGAGCUUAACUCCAUCAUGGCAGUGGAAACUGUUGGGCUUGAGUGUGGUAGGGGCAGAGGGAAUUCCCGGUGUAGCGGUGAAAUGCGUAGAUAUCGGGAAGAACACCAGUGGCGAAGGCGCUCUGCUGGGCCAUAACUGACGCUCAUGGACGAAAGCCAGGGGAGCGAAAGGGAUUAGAUACCCCUGUAGUCCUGGCCGUAAACGAUGAACACUAGGUGUCGGGGGAAUCGACCCCUUCGGUGUCGUAGCUAACGCGUUAGGUGUUCCGCCUGGGGAGUACGCACGCAAGUGUGAAACUCAAAGGAAUUGACGGGGGCCCGCACAAGCGGUGGAGUAUGUGGUUUAAUUCGAUGCAACGCGAAGAACCUUACCAGGGUUUGACAUCCUGCGAACCUUUAAGAAAUUAGAGGGUGCCUUCGGGAACGCAGUGACAGGUGGUGCACGGCUGUCGUCAGCUCGUGUCGUGAGAUGUUGGGUUAAGUCCCGCAACGAGCGCAACCCACGUUUUUAGUUGCCAGCAUUUAGUUGGGCACUCUAGAGAGACCGCCGGUGAUAAACCGGAGGAAGGUGUGGAUGACGUCAAGUCAUCAUGCCCCUUACGUCCUGGGCUACACACGUACUACAAUGCUACGGACAAAGAGCAGCAAGUUCGCGAGGACAAGCAAAUCUCAUAAACCGUGGCUCAGUUCAGAUCGUAG